GAAGAAAAAAGAAGAGGGUUGAGUCUGAAUCAAGACAGAAAAAAGAAAAGGGGUUGAGUCUGAGUCAAGAAAGAGACCAGAAGAAUGCCCAGUCUGAGUCAAGACAGAGAAAAGAAGAGGGACGAGUCUGAGUCAAGACAAGGAAAAGAAAAGGGGUUGAGUCUGAGUCAAGACAGAAACCAGAAUAGGGUUGAGUCUGAGUCAAGACAGAGACCAAAAGAAGGCUGAGUCUGAGUCAAGACAGAGACCAGAAGAGCAUUGAGUCUGAUCUUGACUGAGUCAAGACCAAGACCAUGAAUAUAUGGUCUAAGACAGGAUUUGAAUAACCCUGGUCUAAGACUUGGACUUGUGUACUACAACACAGAAUUUUGGUCAUUUUUGGGUGAGCUGUAUCUUUAAUAGCUAUAAGCCACAAACAGAAAUAGAAUUUCACAGUUCAGUCUUGUUUGAGGAUGUGGAAUUGUUUAGUGUGUAUGAAACGCCUAAUACAGUGACAGUUCCUGUCUGUUGUUUACAAUAGUCAAAAGGUCACUUCGGUUUUUGUUUUUGCUGUUGUUGAUUCCUGUAAUUUCAGUUUGAAGAAUACAGAUAAUUAGACUGAGUUUUAGGGUUCUUAAUUUCCAAAAUUUUUGUUUUCCCUUAUUUUAUUACAAAACAUUGCUAACUUCCAUGAAGUUGUUGGGAUAUUUUGUAUCAGUUUUUAAUUGUUUGGUCAAAAUUUUGAAAGUACAAUCAACCCUACAGUAUCUACAGACCAUCAUGUUUUUGAGGAUUAUUUCCUGCUUGAUUAAGAGAAAACAGAGGGAAAAUAAUCACAGUAACUUCAAGAUUGCUGGUGUUUUCAUGUAGUUUUGUGCACUGUAGUGUUCCUGAAAGGAGAUGAAAACUGUGUAAAAGUGCAUGGAAAAACUUUCCCAUUUAAAAUAGCAUUUCCGUAUCUAAUUUAUGACAGGGUUGUUUUUUUGUUUAAUACUUUUCUCCGGUCACUGAUUUCUCUUUUGUUAAACAUAUUGACUGGACCAGUUAAGUGUGUGUAUUAAGUUUGAAUUAGUGUAUGAAUGUGCAUAUUGUCUUAAGCCUGAACAAAAUAUGAAUAUGAAUGCAUUAUCACUGAAGACUGUUAAUCACGGUUUUACUUAUGUGGUAUUAGUGUUUUUCCACUUAAAAUGAGAAAUGUGGAGUGAAUCUUCCUGGUCUGGGCUCAAGCGCUGUCUCAUUAAAUCUCAUUUUGCCUCCUGCAGUCGAAGCGGUUUUCGACAAGCGAUGUUACAGCUGCACAUUUUUUGCGAAAUGCUUUUUGAACGAUAUACAGAAAUUUUUAAUGGAUGAGUCCUAGUAUGUUUAAGCAUAACAUCUUGUUGAGUUAGUGCACAUGUAAAGAUUUUUGCCUUUAUUUUUGGUUUAUCUUCUAUUUGUUGGGCCUCAUCUGAUAUGAGAGUUUCAAAAAUGGCGCUGGGUUGGUAACGAUACAAGUUUCCAUUCUAAGUUUCUCUCUAGCUAUCAAAUUGCCUUUAAAAUGUCACUUUUCCUAUAUUAUCACCCGUUGCAAUGCAGCAAAGCCUUAUUAGUACAUGUCUGACUCGUUUAUCUGCCCAGCUCAGCCCUGUAUCAUGCAUGCUGCCUUUGGCAAAGAGGUUCUUUGGCAGAGGAAGUAUGAUUGUGUAGUUGUGUCACACAACACCCUAGUGCUGUGAAUGUCCUGCACUGUAUCUUGCAUUUUACUCACUUCCUAUGGCACUUACCGUCUGCUUGUAUGGAUUAAUAUCAUGAUUGUUAUUGUUUUUCUAUCCAUAGUUCUGUAGUUUUUUUUUCCUUGGAAAUGUCAGUUUUAUUUGCAUUUAAAUUUUAAAAAUUUGCUUAGCUGUAAUAAUGGGGCAGGACGUGUUUGGUUGUGAUGAUGCUUGUUUUUGUCCUGUAUGCAACUGCAAAAACGAACUGAUGUGUUGGAUAUUUUUACGUCUGUAUUAGACAUUUUAUUUGCAAAUCUAUUGUUCGAUUCAUUUGUAAAUGAAUAGAAGAUGGGCAUCCGUCAUUUUAUACAACCAGAGCCAUCAUUAGAUGGACAUACUGCACAUUUUUAUGAUAUAUAAUCAGAUAUACGAGGCUAUUUAUGGUCACAGAGAGAAAGAGUCUAAAAGUCAGGAAUAUCUUUUGAUGAAAUAAUAGUAGAAAUUAUUUAUAUUGCAUUUGUUUCUUUUUAAAUACCACCGGGCAAAGAUUACCCUUUUGCUUGUGGCAAUGCAAGGAAGAAUAUAUAGAGAUGUAGCCAAUGCACAGUCGAUUCUUACUGGUUGUUUGUUUGUUAUUGCUCUUGUAUCUUGGUUAAGCUUGGCUCUGAUAUGUAGGGCAAGCUGGUGAGAUGAAUCUAAAGGUCAUGACAUGUAGUUGCAUGCCAAGAUAAUAAACACAGUUACAUCAUCA